rnacentral:rRNA from 1 species
GACGUAGGUGGCGAACGUGAUCCGGAAUUAUUGGGCGUAAAGGGGGCGUAGAUGGUCUGAUAAGUUAGCAGUGGUAAAUCGAGGCUCAACCUGGAGGGGUCGGGCGAGACUGCGGGGCUAGAGGCGGGCAGAGGCCGGUGGAAUUCCGGGUGUAGUGGUGGAAUGCGUAGAGAUCCGGAGGAACACCAGUGGCGAAGGCGGCCGGCUGGGCCUGUCCUGACGCUGAGGCGCGAAAGCGUGGGGAGCGAUCCGG